AAGUCGAACGAACUCUGGUAUUGAUUGGUGCUUGCAUCAUGAUUUACAUUUGAGUGAGUGGCGAACUGGUGAGUAACACGUGGGAAACCUGCCCAGAAGCGGGGGAUAACACCUGGAAACAGAUGCUAAUACCGCAUAACAACUUGGACCGCAUGGUCCGAGUUUGAAAGAUGGCUUCGGCUAUCACUUUUGGAUGGUCCCGCGGCGUAUUAGCUAGAUGGUGGGGUAACGGCUCACCAUGGCAAUGAUACGUAGCCGACCUGAGAGGGUAAUCGGCCACAUUGGGACUGAGACACGGCCCAAACUCCUACGGGAGGCAGCAGUAGGGAAUCUUCCACAAUGGACGAAAGUCUGAUGGAGCAACGCCGCGUGAGUGAAGAAGGGUUUCGGCUCGUAAAACUCUGUUGUUAAAGAAGAACAUAUCUGAGAGUAACUGUUCAGGUAUUGACGGUAUUUAACCAGAAAGCCACGGCUAACUACGUGCCAGCAGCCGCGGUAAUACGUAGGUGGCAAGCGUUGUCCGGAUUUAUUGGGCGUAAAGCGAGCGCAGGCGGUUUUUUAAGUCUGAUGUGAAAGCCUUCGGCUCAACCGAAGAAGUGCAUCGGAAACUGGGAAACUUGAGUGCAGAAGAGGACAGUGGAACUCCAUGUGUAGCGGUGAAAUGCGUAGAUAUAUGGAAGAACACCAGUGGCGAAGGCGGCUGUCUGGUCUGUAACUGACGCUGAGGCUCGAAAGUAUGGGUAGCAAACAGGAUUAGAUACCCUGGUAGUCCAUACCGUAAACGAUGAAUGCUAAGUGUUGGAGGGUUUCCGCCCUUCAGUGCUGCAGCUAACGCAUUAAGCAUUCCGCCUGGGGAGUACGGCCGCAAGGCUGAAACUCAAAGGAAUUGACGGGGGCCCGCACAAGCGGUGGAGCAUGUGGUUUAAUUCGAAGCUACGCGAAGAACCUUACCAGGUCUUGACAUACUAUGCAAAUCUAAGAGAUUAGACGUUCCCUUCGGGGACAUGGAUACAGGUGGUGCAUGGUUGUCGUCAGCUCGUGUCGUGAGAUGUUGGGUUAAGUCCCGCAACGAGCGCAACCCUUAUUAUCAGUUGCCAGCAUUAAGUUGGGCACUCUGGUGAGACUGCCGGUGACAAACCGGAGGAAGGUGGGGAUGACGUCAAAUCAUCAUGCCCCUUAUGACCUGGGCUACACACGUGCUACAAUGGAUGGUACAACGAGUUGCGAACUCGCGAGAGUAAGCUAAUCUCUUAAAGCCAUUCUCAGUUCGGAUUGUAGGCUGCAACUCGCCUACAUGAAGUCGGAAUCGCUAGUAAUCGCGGAUCAGCAUGCCGCGGUGAAUACGUUCCCGGGCCUUGUACACACCGCCCGUCACACCAUGAGAGUUUGUAACACCCAAAGUCGGUGGGGUAACCUUUUAGGAACCAGC
rnacentral:rRNA from 2 species